UACGGGGGGGGCAAGCGUUGUUCGGAAUUACUGGGCGUAAAGGGCUUGUAGGUGGCCAACUAAGUCAGACGUGAAAUCCCUCGGCUUAACCGGGGAACUGCGUCUGAUACUGGAUGGCUUGAGUUUGGGAGAGGGAUGCGGAAUUCCAGGUGUAGCGGUGAAAUGCGUAGAUAUCUGGAGGAACACCGGUGGCGAAGGCGGCAUCCUAGGACCAAGACUGACACUGAAAAGCGAAAAGCCAGGGGAGACAAACGGG
rnacentral:rRNA from 1 species